rnacentral:lncRNA from 1 species
GGCGGGUCCGCUGCACCGCAGCGAGCUGCACCAACCUUGCCGCGGACACGCGCGUGAACACACCAGACGGCCGCAGCAGAGCGCGGCGGCGAGGGCGUCCCGGGCCGGUGAGCAGCAGCAGAGGGGGAGGCGGCGGCUGCCCCGCCCACCGGGCCGCGCGCCCCGCCCACGCGCGCGGGGAGGAGCCCGAGCCGAGUUGGGAGGAGAGGUGGGGCGGUCCCGGAGCGCAGAGAGACCGACUCCCUGGCUGCGGCGGCGGUGGCGCCGGGGAGCCGUGGUUCCUGUAAAACUUUGAGCAACUGGAAAUCAGCUGGAGGGAUCUGCCGAGGCCUGUGGUCUCGUGGUCCUGCGCGGGCGUGGCUGUGCACAAACAAGAGGGUUACACAGUUGGAAGACCGGUACAAAUAUAAUGCAUUAUUAACAAGUGCAGCUAGCUAUGUAUUUUUGUUAAGGCUUUAAAGGAAAUACAGAUAAAUAGAUGCCUCCAUUUUUCUUCCAGUAGGCAUGCACAUAUAACAAAUCAUUUGUAAU